rnacentral:rRNA from 1 species
AUUGAACGCUGGCGGCAGGCCUAACACAUGCAAGUCGAACGAGUGGCGGACGGGUGAGUAAUGUCUGGGAAACUGCCCGAUGGAGGGGGAUAACUACUGGAAACGGUAGCUAAUACCGCAUACCAUCGGAUGUGCACAGAUGGGAUUAGCUUGUAGGUGAGUGAACGGCUCACAUAGGCGACGAUACCUAGCGGGUUUGAGAGGAUUACCAGCCACACUGGACCUGCGACCCGGUCCAGACUCCUACGGGAGGCAGCCGUGGGGAAGAUUGCACAAUGGGCGCAAGCCUGAUGCAGCCAUGCCGCGUGUAUGAAGAAGGCCUUCGGGUUGUAAAGUACUUUCAGCGGGGAGGCGUUACCCUCAGAAGAAGCACCGGCUAACUCCGUGCCAGCAGCCGCGGUAAUUC